UACGUAGGGGACGAGCGUUGUCCGGAAUUACUGGGCGUAAAGGGUGCGUAGGUGGUUUCUUAAGUCAGAGGUGAAAGGCUACGGCUCAACCGUAGUAAGCCUCUGAAACUGGGAAACUUGAGUGCAGGAGAGGAGAGUGGAAUUCCUAGUGUAGCGGUGAAAUGCGUAGAUAUUAGGAGGAACACCAGUUGCGAAGGCGGCUCUCUGGACUGUAACUGACACUGAGGCACGAAAGCGUGGGGAGCAAACAGGAUUAGAUACCCUGGUAGUCCCUGA
rnacentral:rRNA from 1 species